CCUACGGGAUGCAGCAGGAGGGAAUCUUCGGCAAUGGACGAAAGUCUGACCGAGCAACGCCGCGUGAGUGAAGAAGGUUUUCGGAUCGUAAAACUCUGUUGUUAGAGAAGAACAAGAAGGUGAGUAACUGCUCUUACCUUGACGGUAUCUAACCAGAAAGCCACGGCUAACUACGUGCCAGCAGCCGCGGUAAUACGUAGGUGGCAAGCGUUGUCCGGAUUUAUUGGGCGUAAAGCGAGCGCAGGCGGUCUUUUAAGUCUGAUGUGAAAGCCCUCGGCUCAACCGAGGAAGGUCAUUGGAAACUGGAGGACUUGAGUGCAGAAGAGGAGAGUGGAAUUCCAUGUGUAGCGGUGAAAUGCGUAGAUAUAUGGAGGAACACCAGUGGCGAAGGCGACUCUCUGGUCUGUAACUGACGCUGAGGCUCGAAAGCGUGGGGAGCAAACAGGAUUAGAUACCCGCGUAGUC
rnacentral:rRNA from 1 species